UACAGAGGGGGCAAGCGUUGUUCGGAAUUACUGGGCGUAAAGGGCGCGUAGGCGGCCUGCUAAGUCGAACGUGAAAUCCCUGGGCUCAACCCAGGAACUGCGUCCGAUACUGGUUGGCUUGAAUCCGGGAGAGGGAUGUGGAAUUCCAGGUGUAGCGGUGAAAUGCGUAGAUAUCGGGAGGAACACCAGUGGCGAAGGCGGUUGCCUGGAGCUUUGCUGACGCUGAUGCGCGAAAGCGUGGGGAGCGAUCCGG
rnacentral:rRNA from 1 species